GUUUCCUACGGGAGGCAGCAGUAGGGAAUUUUCGUCAAUGGGCGCAAGCCUGAACGAGCAAUGCCGCGUGAACGAGGAAGGUCUUCGGAUCGUAAAGUUCUGUUGAAGGGGAAAAAGAGCGGAGAGAGGAAAUGGUCUCCGAUUGAUAUUACCCUUCGAGGAAGUCACGGCUAGCUACGUGCCAGCAGCCGCGGUAAUACGUAGGGUGCGAGCGUUAAUCGGAAUUACUGGGCGUAAAGGGUGCGCAGGCGG
rnacentral:rRNA from 1 species